GACGAACGCUGGCGGCGUGCCUAAUACAUGCAAGUUGAGCGCUGAAGGUUGGUACUUGUACCAACUGGAUGAGCAGCGAACGGGUGAGUAACGCGUGGGAAAUCUGCCUUUGAGCGGGGGACAACAUUUGGAAACGAAUGCUAAUACCGCAUAAAAACUUUAAACACAAGUUUUAAGUUUGAAAGAUGCAAUUGCAUCACUCAAAGAUGAUCCCGCGUUGUAUUAGCUAGUUGGUGAGGUAAAGGCUCACCAAGGCGAUGAUACAUAGCCGACCUGAGAGGGUGAUCGGCCACAUUGGGACUGAGACACGGCCCAAACUCCUACGGGAGGCAGCAGUAGGGAAUCUUCGGCAAUGGACGAAAGUCUGACCGAGGAACGCCGCGUGAGUGAAGAAGGUUUUCGGAUCGUAAAACUCUGUUGGUAGAGAAGAAAGUUGGUGAGAGUGGAAAGCUCAUCAAGUGACGGUAACUACACAGAAAGGGACGGCUAACUACGUG
rnacentral:rRNA from 1 species